AGUCACAUUUAUAGUUUUCUUAGGCUCUAUUUCCAUUAUACACUGGAUUUUAUAUUUGCAAACGAACUUUUAAUACGUAACCCUGCGUUUGGAAAUCCUAAAUUAUUAAUCCCAUCGCAGGUAUCGAGUUGACAGAUGCUUUUUUACAUUUCUAAAUUUAGACUUUUAUUUCAGUAAUGCAGGACGGUCAACCAAAUAAAUAAUGGGACGUGGAUUUGAUAUUAUCUUGCCUUUGUUUGUAAAACGUAAAACGGCUAUUGUAACCUAUAAAGGACUUUAACACUAAAGCACAGGGGGCAAAUGAGCAUGCGGCUCACCUGAUGGUAAGUGACUACCGCCGCCCAUGCCCAUGCCCAUGAUCACCCACAACACCAGUGGCAUUGCAGGUGUGCUGCCGGCCUUUUAAAAAGGAAUAUACUCUUUUCUUGAAGGUUAUGUUGUCGUAUCGGUUCGGAAAUACUGCUGCUGGAAGUUGAUUCCAAAGAAUGGUUGCUUGUACUUAUUAUCAUGUUUAAAUGGGUGAAUGAAUUUGAAUAAAAUUUAUAACAUAAAUACAUAUCUUAGAUUAAUACAUAAAGUAAUAUAUAUUACCCGUAAAUCAUGUGGCCGAAGUUGCGAAAUACAGCUAGUAAUAUAUGCUGGAUCCUGCGACGACCAGGAGCAAACCGACAAGGUCGAGGCGAGCCAGUCGGUCUAUGUGCGCAAGUUGCCAAGUUCAUUGUUCACAUUGUGCAUACUUAAUAUGCAACGUAGGUAAGGUGGCGAAACAAACGAAUACGUUCCGGCAAAACAGGAGCAUCUGGCGGAAGGAACAACCGAGCGUUUCGUGUCAAGGUGAACAUCGUUCGACGUGGUUUUGGUCGGUAUAAUGCAGAUAUUAUGAUUGUUUAUUUGGAUAAAUCACGUGUUUCAUACAUUUGUCAUUGAUAUAUACGUGAUAUGAAGUAGUAUUUUGCAUAUAUUGAUUUGACUUGAUAUUCACAACGAUAGUCACUCUGUAUUCAUGACUAAAUUAAAGUGUUGAUAUACCACCCCAUUACAUUAUAUUUAUUUAUAUUUUAUAAUAACUUGAAUACAAUUUCCAUUAUUUAUAUUAUAUUAUUAUUCAUAUUGUUAAUAUUUUUACUCAUUUAAUAAUUUAAUUAUAUUUUAAUGUUUGUCAAACACAAGGCAUGCUGUGGUUGCCUAUAAAUGUAAGAACAGUGAGAUCUAAUCUGCCAGUUUAUUGUAUUAAAAUUUAGCUUUAUUGUAGCUGUAUCUUAUGUUGGUAAUCCUAUAAAUAAAUAAAUAUAUAACAUGGUAGUUGAAACUGUAUUAUCAAUUUGCAUUUAGGUAGUAAAUUGUCAACUGUCUGACCAUUAAUAAAUAUGUUAUAAAUAUCAUCAUCAUUUCAGCCAUUAUCCGUCCAUUGCUGGACAUAGGCCUCCCCCAUAGACCGCCAUAAGCUGCCGUGAGACACCUGCAUCCAUUGAUUUUCUGCAAUGCAUUUUAGGUCGUCACUCCAUCUAGUGGGUUUUUUAGUAGGUGAUAAUGUAAUGGUAACCCCACCCGCGUUAUCAAUAUACGCCGGCGGGGCACCAGUGAAGGAUGAUAGGGGAGGAUGAAGCAGGUUAGUUAACUCACCGUGACAAAUUCAACAAGAAUUGUUCACGAUGGUUUCCAAGGGAAACCACGUGGAGGUCGACCUAAUAGGGUAUAUUGCUAGCAAUGGGGGUGUCAAACUCCAUUGCUAACAACCCCUUUCCCCCCUCUAGUGGGGGGUUGUCCUACACUACUACUACUGCGUUUGCCCGUACGGGCAUACAUUAUAAUACAUAUGGUUAUAAAUAUAUGUAUAUACGUCAUUUUUUUUUACAACACAGGGGGCAAACGAGCAUGCGGCUCACCUGAUGGUAAGUGAAUACCGCGGCCCAUGAUUACCCACAACACCAGCGGUAUUGCAGGUGUGCUGCCGGCCUUGAACGAACAUAAUUAUUUAUAACAGUAAACAUUUUUAUUAAUGCUUAAACACUUGGCAAUUUAACCAAACUUUGAACCAAAGUUCUAAUAAACAAUUAAUUUAGUAAUAAAAUUAAAAAAAAAAUUAUUACGAAUUCUUUUUUAUCACAUGAAUAGAGUCUGUUAUUAACAUACUA